rnacentral:rRNA from 1 species
CACGGGGGGAGCAAGCGUUGUUCGGAAUCACUGGGCGUAAAGGGCGUGUAGGCGGUCAGGUAAGUGGAAUGUGAAAGCCCCCGGCUCACCCGGGGAUCGGCAUCCCAAACUGCCUGGCUUGAGUAUGGGAGAGGACAGGGGAAUUCCUGGUGUAGCGGUGAAAUGCGUAGAUAUCAGGAGGAACACCGGUGGCGAAGGCGCCUGUCUGGCCCAAUACUGACGCUGAGGCGCGAAAGCUAGGGGAGCAAACGGG